GAGAGUACUCUGCUUUUACACGUGGUCAGGUCUGAAAGCUUACGCCAGGCACACCAGGGUACUGAAGCAAUUCACUGCAGAUGGGCUCUCUUCUCUUGGUAACUGAAACUUUGCCAUUGCAAAAUUGUCACUCUGAUCGACUACUUUUAGAGAACAUGUGAGAGAAUUCAAUUGGAAGAAAAUGCGACUGAACAGAGACAUAGUUGAUUCAGGGGUGAAGUGAAAGCAUGUUAACUGUGCAGUGCUGAAUGGAUAAACUAUGUGACCUGACAUUCCCGGUACCUGAGUUGCUGCCAUGAAGUGUUUCACCUCAUGAUAACUUCUUGACUUGCAAAUGAAGAUGCAGCUUUGAAAAGCACAGACCUGUUUCCAGCCAUUGGCAGGGUCCCACUUUUCAGUACUCUAUUACCUUCUCAGAAGUACAGACUCGUAAGAAAUGAGAACAUCACCAUCAUAGAUUAAACCUGAUCCAACAGCUGUUGAAGACACUUCUCUCCUCAUCUCAUCUGCUAAAACUCUCCUAUCACUCUAUACUAUCAAUAUGGAGAAAGGUAGAUACUUCUAGAAGGUGAAUAAUUCUACCAGACUUUGUUAUCCAUCUUCAGAUGACCCUCAGAAAGUGCUGAUUUCUCUCUAUUACUGUUAUAGUGUGCUCAGAAAAACAGCUUUGACCAGAUGCAUCAGAUUAAAUUAAUCCCAUGCUAAGUAUCUCCUUUGUCUUCAGUGGGAAAUACUUGGGUUUGUGGCUUGUUUAGAAUUCUGAAAUGUAACAUGAAAU